CGAUGAACCGCUUUCGGGCGGGGAUUAGUGGCGAACGGGUGAGUAACACGUGGGCAAUCUGCCCUGCACUCUGGGACAAGCCCUGGAAACGGGGUCUAAUACCGGAUAUGACUGUCCAUCGCAUGGUGGAUGGUGUAAAGCUCCGGCGGUGCAGGAUGAGCCCGCGGCCUAUCAGCUUGUUGGUGAGGUAGUGGCUCACCAAGGCGACGACGGGUAGCCGGCCUGAGAGGGCGACCGGCCACACUGGGACUGAGACACGGCCCAGACUCCUACGGGAGGCAGCAGUGGGGAAUAUUGCACAAUGGGCGAAAGCCUGAUGCAGCGACGCCGCGUGAGGGAUGACGGCCUUCGGGUUGUAAACCUCUUUCAGCAGGGAAGAAGCGAAAGUGACGGUACCUGCAGAAGAAGCGCCGGCUAACUACGUGCCAGCAGCCGCGGUAAUACGUAGGGCGCAAGCGUUGUCCGGAAUUAUUGGGCGUAAAGAGCUCGUAGGCGGCUUGUCACGUCGGUUGUGAAAGCCCGGGGCUUAACCCCGGGUCUGCAGUCGAUACGGGCAGGCUAGAGUUCGGUAGGGGAGAUCGGAAUUCCUGGUGUAGCGGUGAAAUGCGCAGAUAUCAGGAGGAACACCGGUGGCGAAGGCGGAUCUCUGGGCCGAUACUGACGCUGAGGAGCGAAAGCGUGGGGAGCGAACAGGAUUAGAUACCCUGGUAGUCCACGCCGUAAACGGUGGGCACUAGGUGUGGGCAACAUUCCACGUUGUCCGUGCCGCAGCUAACGCAUUAAGUGCCCCGCCUGGGGAGUACGGCCGCAAGGCUAAAACUCAAAGGAAAUUGACGGGGGCCCGCACAAGCGGCGGGA
rnacentral:rRNA from 1 species